AAAUAGUUUUAAGAAAGGACAGUCAGGAUUCCUUAUUGUUGUUCGAAAUGGGGAAUUUAUCAGUCUUUUGUAUCAUUUCUGUGGCACUAAUCAGUUUAAAUAUAUCCCCAGUAUUUUCAGAUGAGGAGGAACUGGUUACGUGUUUGUUUGUUGAUCAAUGGUUCGGACAUGUUAGAUGUGAAGAUCCAUUAGAAGAUUUACAUUGUGAAAUGGGAUUAUCGCUAUGUAGAUGUAGUCCAAAUCAGGUUUGUUCUGCUAAAUGUGUACACAAUACAGAGACCUCAGGAGAGGUACCAUGUAAUUACAUGUGUAAAUCAAAGGCUAAGAUAUCAGUAGAAAAGAAUAAUAAUGAACGUUUUAACCAAGGUUUACAGCUAGGAGGCUGAAAUGAAUUUUAUUGGAAA